rnacentral:rRNA from 1 species
GGAGGAAUAUUGGGCAAUGGACGAAAGUCUGACCCAGCAACGCCGCGUGAAGGAUGAAGGCCUUCGGGUCGUAAACUUCUUUUGAGGGAGACGAGAAAGGACGGUAACCCUCGAAUAAGCCACGGCUAACUACGUGCCAGCAGCCGCGGUAAAACGUAGGUGGCGAGCGUUAUCCGGAUUCAUUGGGCGUAAAGAGCUUGUAGGUGGUGCGAUAAGUUGGACGUGAAAACUCCGGGCUUAACUUGGAGAGGCCGUUCAAUACUGUUGUGCUAGAGGGCGUCAGAGGGAAGUGGAAUUCCUGGUGUAGCAGUGAAAUGCGUAGAUAUCAGGAGGAACAUCCGUGGCGAAGGCGGCUUCCUGGGGCGCACCUGACACUGAGAAGCGAAAGCUAGGGGAGCAAACGGGAUUAGAAACCCCGGUAGUCCUAGCUGUAAACGAUGGAUGCUAGGUGUGAGUGGAUCUAACCCCGCUCGUGCCGAAGCUAACGCGUUAAGCAUCCCGCCUGGGAACUACGAGCGCAAGCUUAAAAACUCAAAGGAAUUGACGGGGUCAUAGCUGUUUCCU